GCUGUUUUACAAUGGAUAUGAGCCAUGCCAAUGAAAUUGAUGUGAAGCUUCUUGAUUUGCAAGAAAAGAAAGGCUUGCUUGAGAGGUUGGUCGGAGCAGUGGAAGAAGGUCAAGAGAGCUUCUUGUUGAGGCUCAAGAACCGCAUUGAUAGAGUUGGAAUAAGCUUUCCUACAAUAGAAGUCAGAUUUGAGCAUCUAAACAUUUCAGCUGAAGCUUAUGUUGGAAGCAGGGCUUUGCCUACAGUCUUGAACUAUUGUGUUAACUUAGUGGAGGGCUUCUUGAAUAGCAUCCAUAUUCUUCCCACUAAGAAGAAACACUUGUCUAUCCUUAAAGAUGUCAGUGGGAUCAUCAAGCCUGGCAGAAUGGCACUGCUUUUGGGCCCUCCCAGUUCCGGGAAGACUACGCUCUUGUUGGCUUUUGCUGGAAAACUUGAUCAGGAUCUUAAGUCUUCAGGAUGUGUGACGUACAAUGGUUAUGAGAUGCAUGAGUUUGUGCCCCAAAGGAGUGCUUCCUAUAUCAGUCAACAUGAUGUUCAUAUUGCAGAAAUGACAGUCAAAGAAACCUUGGCCUUCUCUGCAAGAUGCCAAGGGGUUGGACCCCGUUAUGAAAUGCUGGAAGAGCUAACUAGAAGAGAGAGAGAAGAGAAUAUUAAGCCGGAUCCAGAUAUAGACAUCUUCAUGAAGGCAAUUUCAACAGAAGGCCAGAAGGAAAUAUUGGUGACAGAUUAUAUUCUUAAGAUUUUGGGAUUAGAUGCUUGUGCAGAUACCUUGGUGGGUGAUCAGUUAUUAAGGGGUAUCUCUGGAGGGCAAAAGAAACGAGUCACAACAGGUGAGAUGCUUGUUGGACCUGCUAGGGCACUAUUCAUGGAUGAAAUAUCAACUGGGUUGGAUAGUUCAACAACUUACCAGAUUGUAAAUUCAGUCAAGAACUAUGUUCACAUCCUUAACGGGACUGCAGUCAUCUCACUGCUGCAGCCAGCACCUGAAACUUAUGAACUUUUUGAUGACAUUAUUCUCCUUUCUGAUGGCCAAAUUGUGUACCAAGGCCCUCGUGAACAAGUUCUUGAUUUUUUUGAAUCCAUGGGCUUUAAAUGUCCUGAGAGAAAAGGCGUAGCUGACUUCCUGCAAGAAGUGACAUCAAGGAAAGAUCAGAAGCAGUACUGGACAAGCAGAGAUGAGCCUUACAGGUUCAUCACAGUCAAGCACUUUUCAGAGGCUUUUCAAUCUUUUUCUGUGGGGAAAAGAAUUACAGAGGAACUUGCAGCACCAUUUGACAAGACCAAGAGCGACCCAGCUGCCUUAACGACCAAGAAAUAUGGUAUAAGAAAAGUGGAACUCUUGAAAGCUUGCUUUUCAAGGGAACUCUUGCUUAUGAAGAGGAAUUCAUUUGUCUACGUUUUUAAGCUCACUCAACUUGCAAUAAUGGCACUGAUCACAAUGACCGUAUUCCUACGGAUUGAUAUGCGCCGUGAUUCAGUAACUGAUGGAGGAAUAUAUGCUGGUGCUUUGUUCUACUCCUUCGUUACUGUUAUGUUCAGUGGAAUGUCAGAGAUUUCUAUGACUAUUGCCAAGCUUCCUGUUUUUUAUAAGCAAAGAGACCUUUUUUUUCCGUCGUGGGCAUAUGCCCUUGCCACAUGGAUUCUCAAGAUCCCUAUCACAUUUUUAGAUGUUUCUGUUUGGGUAUUUAUCACUUACUAUGUCAUUGGAUUUGAUCCCUGUGUUGAAAGGUUUUUCAGACAAUACCUUCUAUUCUUACUCAUUAGUCAGAUGGCUUCUGCGUUAAACCGAUCCAUUGCUGGACUUGGUAGAAGCAUGGUUGUUGCUUACACAUUUGGGUCAUUUGCACAGCUCAUGCUUUUUGCUUUGGGUGGCUUCGUCCUGUCAAGAGAGAAUAUAAAGAAAUGGUGGAUAUGGGGCUAUUGGAUAUCACCUUUGAUGUAUGGUCAGAAUGCAAUCGUGGUUAAUGAGUUCCUAGGAAAGAGUUGGAGUCAUGUUCUUCCAAACUCAAUGGAACCGCUAGGAGUUGCUGUUUUGAGGUCUCAUGGAUUCUUUACACAUCCAUCCUGGUAUUGGAUUGGAGUAGGAGCUUUGAUUGGAUAUGUACUCAUAUUCAACGUUUGUUUCACUGUGGCUCUCACUUAUCUAAACCCAUUAGAGAAGCAACAGGCUGUUAAAUUGGAAGAAUCUCAAAGCAAAGAACAUGAUGAGAAGAGUGGAGAAGUUGGUUGGUCACAGAACAAAGGAAAUAGCUUGAUUCCACAAAUCAACUCAGCUAAUGGAGAAGAGUGUACUAAUCAUAACAAGAUAAGAGGAAUGGUUCUUCCAUUUGAGCCGCAUUCCAUCACUUUUGAUAAAAUCACGUACUCUGUGGAUAUGCCACAGUCAAUGAAGAACCAAGGUGUUGUUGAGGACAAAUUGGUGCUUCUCAAGUGUGUUAGUGGUGCUUUUAGGCCAGGUGUUCUGACAGCCCUUAUGGGAGUGAGCGGUGCUGGUAAAACUACUCUAAUGGAUGUACUGGCUGGUAGAAAAACUAGAGGAUAUAUUGAGGGAAAUAUUUCAGUUUCUGGGUAUCCAAAGAAGCAAGACUCAUUUGCCAGAAUUUCUGGAUACUGUGAGCAGAAUGACAUCCACUCUCCUUAUGUUACUGUCUAUGAAUCCUUGAUGUACUCAGCAUGGCUGCGUCUAUCUACGAAGAUUAGUUCUGGAACCAGGAAGAUGUUCGUUGAUGAAGUGAUGGGACUCGUAGAGCUGAAUCCAUUAAGGCAAGCACUAGUAGGGUUAUCUGGUGAAAGUGGUCUCUCAACCGAGCAGCGGAAGAGGCUGACCAUUGCGGUUGAACUAGUGGCAAACCCUUCUGUAAUAUUCAUGGAUGAACCAACUUCAGGUUUAGAUGCAAGAGCUGCUGCUAUUGUUAUGAGAGCGGUUAGGAACAUUGUGGACACGGGAAGAACAAUAGUGUGCACUAUUCAUCAGCCAAGCAUCGACAUAUUUGAAGCUUUCGAUGAGUUGUUUUUAAUGAAGCAAGGAGGACAGGAGAUGUAUGUAGGGCCACUAGGUCGUCAUUCUUGCCAUUUGAUCAAGUACUUUGAGGGAAUUGAGGGGGUGAGCAAAAUCAAGAAUGGAUACAAUCCAGCUACUUGGAUGUUGGAAGUUACCACUUCAGCAAAAGAAACGGCAUUAGGAAUUGAUUUUGCUGAUGUUUAUAGAAGUUCUGAAAUUUAUAGGAGAAACAAAUCCCUUAUUGAAGAACUGAGUACCCCUGCUCCUGGUUCAAAGGACCUCUACUUCCCUACUCGAUACCCUCAGUCAUUUUUCACUCAAUGCAAGGCUUGCUUAUGGAAACAACAUUGGUCAUACUGGCACAAUCCGGAAUACAAUGCCAUAAGGUUUAUCUACACAACUGUCGUAGCCUUGCUGCUUGGGACAAUGUUCUGGAAUCUUGGUUCCAAAAUGGAAAAACAGCAGGAGCUCUUUAAUGCAAUUGGUUCUAUGUAUGCUUCUGUUAUCUUUCUUGGUAUUGAAAAUGCCAUGACAGUGCAGCCAAUAGUGGCUGUUGAACGAACUGUCUUUUAUAGAGAACGAGCUGCUGGAAUGUAUUCUGCCUUGGCAUAUGCCUUUGCACAGCUCACAAUUGAGCUCCUUUAUGUUUUUGCACAAGCUUUGAUCUACAGUGUCCUAGUUUAUGCGAUGAUUGGAUUUGAGUGGACUGUGGCUAAAUUCUUUUGGUACCUAUUCUUCAUGUUUUUCACAUGUUUGUACUUCACCUUCUAUGGCAUGAUGGGGGUGGCCUUGACACCAAAUCAACAUGUUGCUGCUAUAACUUGUAAUGCAUUUUAUGCAUUAUGGAACCUUUUUUCGGGUUCAUAAUCCCACGAACUAGAAUUCCUAUAUGGUGGAGAUGGUACUAUUGGGCAUCCCCAAUGGCUUGGACCUUGUAUGGAUUGACUGCAUCCCAGUUUGGAGAUAUACAGGCCAAGCUCAACACAGGUGAAACAGUGCAAGAGUUUCUGAGAAAUUACUUUGGUUUCGAACAAGAAUUUGUGGUAGUGGUUGCAGCUGUAGUCGUUGGAUUUACACUACUCUUUGCAUUUGUCUAUGCCUUGUCCAUCAAGAAGUUGAAUUUUCAGUGGCGAUAAGAAAUUCUGUAUCAAUUAUUUCCAAUCAGCAUAGUUUAGGCUAGGGUCUCAAUGGCAAACAUGUCAACUUGUUGACCAUUUGGGACUUAGACUCAUCAACUUUAAUACUUGUAAAAAAUCCACCUAAGAACGGAGGGAGAAACACUUCCAUCCGCAUAAUGUUUAGAUUUGUGUUGUUUUAAAUCUUUUGCGGCCGUUUGCAGCGAUUUAGCAGCGGUUUUUUCCGUCGCUAACCGUUGUAGAUUCAAGAAUUAGCAGCGGAGAUAAAAACCGCCGCUAAAGGUUGCAUAGAAUGCCGUACUACAUUCCAAUAGAAAUGUGAGCUUUUACUGUCUU